rnacentral:rRNA from 2 species
GACCCCCGGCAGCGGAUAUCUUGGCUCUCGCAUCGAUGAAGGACGUAGCGAAAUGCGAUACUUGGUGUGAAUUGCAGAAUCCCGUGAACCAUCGAGUUUUUGAACGCAAGUUGCGCCCGAGGCUAUGUGGCCAAGGGCUCGCCUGCCUGGGCAUCACGCCUUGCGACGCUUUGUGCC